rnacentral:rRNA from 1 species
UGGGGAAUAUUGGGCAAUGGGCGAAAGCCUGACCCAGCAACGCCGCGUGAGGGAAGAAGGGUUUCGGCUCGUAAACCUCUGUCCUAUGGGACGAAGGAAGUGACGGUACCAUAGGAGGAAGCCCCGGCUAACUACGUGCCAGCAGCCGCGGUAAUACGUAGGGGGCGAGCGUUGUCCGGAAUGAUUGGGCGUAAAGGGCGCGUAGGCGGCCUGCUAAGUCUGGAGUGAAAGUCCUGCUUUCAAGGUGGGAAUUGCUUUGGAUACUGGUGGGCUGGAGUGCAGGAGAGGAAAGCGGAAUUACCGGUGUAGCGGUGAAAUGCGUAGAGAUCGGUAGGAACACCAGUGGCGAAGGCGGCUUUCUGGACUGAAACUGACGCUGAGGCGCGAAAGCGUGGGGAGCAAACA